rnacentral:piRNA from 1 species
UGACCACAGAGCUCAGGCUGGCAGG